rnacentral:rRNA from 1 species
AUGGAGCAUCCGAUGCAAAGGAGCGACGAGGGCGGCCUGCGCGGCAGCAGCAUGCGUGCCGGCAUGGACGAGCUGGAUCUCAUGGAGGAGUUCCUGCUCGCGUCGCCCGGGCCAGACUUCCCCGAGUUCCUGCACCCCGGCGGCGCGUCGCCGAGCCCCUUCUCCCCGCUCUUUGACCUCGGCAGCACCAUCACCACCGCCCCGGCCGGCGGCGGCGACGACGACGGCGAGGACGGGGACGACGAGUCGCGCCGCGCGUGGCUGAUCCAGCCGCAGGAGGCGCCGGCGUCGGUGAAGGAGCGGCUGGGGCGCGCGCUGCAGGGCAUCGCGUCGCGGUCGCGCGGGGCGGCGGGCGAGCUGCUGGUGCAGGUGUGGGUGCCCACGCGCAUCGGCGACCGCCAGGUGCUCACCACCUGCGGCCAGCCCUUCUGGCUCGACCGCCGCAGCGACCGCCUCGAGAGCUACCGCACCGUGUCCGUCAAGUACCAGUUCUCCGCCGACGAGACCUCCUGCGCCGAGCUGGGGCUCCCCGGCCGCGUCUUCGUCGGCCGCGUCCCCGAGUGGACGCCCGACGUGCGCCUCUUCACCGACAACGAGUACCCGCGCGUCCGCUACGCGCAGCACUUCGACAUCCGCGGCAGCGUCGCCAUGCCGGUCUUCGAGCGCCGCACCGGCGCGUGCCUCGGCGUCGUCGAGCUCGUCAUGACCACCCAGAAGAUCAACUACAACGCCGAGAUCGACAACAUUUGCAACGCUCUCAAGGAGGUUGAUCUCAGAGGUUCUGAUGUUUCAAGCGAUCCUCGCGCACAGGUGGUCGAUACUUCCUACCGAGCAAUUGUACCAGAGAUCGCGCAUGUUCUCAAAGCUGUUUGUGAGACCCAUAAGUUGCCACUGGCCCAGACAUGGAUACCCUGCGUCUGCCAGGCCAAAAGGGCGAGCCGCCACUCCGACGAAAAAUACAAGUACUGUGUCUCCACCGUGGACGAAGCGUGUUAUGUCGGCGAUCCCGCCAUGACUGGCUUUCACCAGGCUUGCUCCGAGCAUCAUCUGUUCAGGGGUGAGGGUGUUGUCGGCACGGCGCUCGGGACAAAUGAGCCAUGUUUCUGCCCAGACAUUACUGCCUACAGCAAGGUCCAAUACCCUCUCUCACAUUAUGCAAAGCUUUUCGGCCUAAGGGCCGCGGUGGCAAUUCGGCUGCGAAGCGUCAAGACCGGGAGUAUGGAUCUUAUCUUGGAAUUUUUCUUGCCAAACAACUGCAUAAAUAGUGAAGAGCAAGGGAACAUGCUCAAUUCUCUGUCCAAUACCAUACAACAAGCCUCCUGUACACUGCGAGUUGUCGGCGUGAAAGAACUGGCGAAUGAUGGAUCGCCUGAAACUAGCUCGCCAACCCCACCAGAAGUUUGUGACAAGCCUGCUGAAAUCUUGGAUGAGCUUGCUAGUGGCAUUGAUAUUCCUGCAAGGACAACAUCAGUGGAUGCUUCCGAGGAGGUAUCUUCAUGGAUUGCAAGCCUUGUGGAUGUUCAGAAUAAUGCGGCGCAGGCAGAAACAGAUUGUGGCCUGCCAUUUGGGUUCAGGAAACAAGAGGAUGAAGGGUUUAGUGUAACAGCUGGCUGGCCAACUUCACCGGUGCUAGUACCUGAAGAUAAAAGUUUCUUUCCAGGGUUUAAGAAGCAUGAAGAAUAUGAGGCCAAGGGUUCACCUUUUUCCAGUGAUCGAAGCCUCUCAAACUCAGACAAAGCAAUAGAGAAGCGGCGAACUAAAAUUGAGAAAACGGUGAGCCUGCAAGAACUCCGGAAGCAUUUCGCUGGUAGUUUGAAAGAAGCUGCAAAGAAUUUAGGAGUGUGCCCUACUACAUUGAAGAGAAUAUGCAGACAUCAUGGAAUUGAUCGUUGGCCAUCAAGGAAGAUCAAGAAAGUUGGGCACUCUCUAAAGAAAUUGCAAAUGGUCAUUGAUUCGGUACAUGGAGCUGAAGGAACAGUUCGGCUGAGUUCACUCUAUGAGAAUUUCACCAAGACUACAUGGUCAGAAAGAGAAUUGCACGGAGAUCUGAGUUAUCCAGCAUCAGAGCAAAAGGUUCAGCUGGAGCCUUCAGUUCCUGAUCGACAGUGCGAGAGCAGAUUCAGUCCCCAUACCUCUGGCUCUAAUUCCCUCUCACCCACCUACAGCCAGAGCUCAAAUUCUAGCCUGGGCUGCUCCAGCGAUCCAAAGCCUCAACAACAGCAAAGCAGCGCUCCUCAGCUUGCGGUGAAGCAGGAAUUUUUCAUGGAGGAGAAUCAGAGUUCGACACAGAUGAAAGCUGCGAGCCACGACGAACUGCAGUUAUUUACUGAAGAGAAACCUGUCACCCUUUGUAGGUCUCAGAGUCACAUGCUAUUCAGUGAACACAAACCAAUGGCAAACAUGUCAGGCAUGCAAGAAGCCAAGCCUGAUUCUCUCAAGAUAAAAGCCAUGUAUGGCGAGGAAAGAUGCAUAUUCCGGCUUCAGCCUAGUUGGGGCUUUGAAAAGCUAAAAGAAGAAAUCGCAAAGCGGUUCGGCAUUUCUCGGGAAAUUUAUGACCUCAAGUACUUGGAUGAUGAGUCGGAGUGGGUUCUUUUGACAUGUGAUGCAGACCUUCUGGAGUGUAUCGAUGUGUACAAGUCAUCAAGUGCUAAAACAGUUAGGAUCUCUGUGAACCCUACAGUUCAACCGGCACUCCGUGGUUCCUUCGGUUAA